UGCAUGUGAGGAGCUGUCCGAGGAGCUGUCCUCACAGAGAUGUGAGGAGCUGUCCGAGGAGCUGUCCUCACAUAUGUGAGGAGCUGUCCUCACAAACUCCAUUACAAGAUGGCACCGGCAUCCGGCAGAACGCACCUAGUAAAAAGGGCAAUACGCAGGCGCCUGGUAACGUCCCUACUCAAAGGGACACGUACGUUUUGGUACGUCAUCUGGCAUAAUUGGCAGCGACCAGUCAGAGAGUGACACGUCCUAGGCGAGGAUAGUUUCCUAUAUAAGGGACGGUUAUUCCUCACUCUCCGUCUCCGCAUUGUAAGCUUAUGCUCUCCCUCUCAAGACGCAUUAAAGCUUUUCUGUAGUAGGAUCCUGUGUGUGCCGCGUCGUUCCUGCUGGCGAGACGAAGCGCGGGACAUCUGGUGCCAAAAACCCGGGAAAGACCUCACCAUCGUCAGCACCUUCGGAGAUCCCUUGGCGACAAGGAGGAUUCAGAACUGCAGGAGUUUUGUUUUAGUUGUAAGAACGUCUGGUGGUAUCUGUCUUUCUAAUUGCUUAAAGGAAAACGUGUUUGCAUCUCGUCACAGUUAAGGCUGCAAUCUAUCAUAGCAGUGAAGUCAUGGAAACAGGAGCUUGAAGCAGCUGGUCCCUUCUCCUUCUACUGUGUUGCCUUGUCCAACUUUGAUGUCCAACCAGUGUGACUGUCUGCAUUAACUUCAAUCCCCAACAUGAAGAAACAUCUCUGAUGAAGUCUGACUUACUUCAUUAAUCUGUGAGUGUAGGGCUGCAAAUCGAGAGGAAAUUGAAGCUUUGAAAGGUUGACUCUGUUCUUGAAGUUUAUCUGGAACUCAUCUGUGAGCUUCAUGGUGUACACAGAUAAGAAACUGACAAUACAUUUCAACAGGCUUAAUUUUAAAUUGAGGACUUUAAAAGAAAGAGUAUAAUUAAACUAUUUAAUUCCACUUAUUUCAGAGAAAAUUCAAGUUAUAUUCUUCUCCUGAAAGGGUUUCAUUUAGCACAGGAGAGAAGUAUAUAUAUAUAUUAUAUGUCUUCUGAUGCCAAGCUGGUUCAGUGCUUCAUGUGUGCAAACCAUCAUCUGAGUUACAGACUCUGUGGACGUCUUUGUUAUUAGAAUAGAGCACUUAGACAUUGAAGUCUAUUUUAGCCAUCGAGGUGUCUCCCAAGCUUCUUCCCCUUCAUCUUGUUGUCACUUUAAUCCCAUGAAUGGGUAUGGAACACAAAGCAGAUCUAUCUACUGUCCCAUUUAAAAUAUCUGUAUGGUUAGGUUCUCAUAUAAACUCACUCCAAGUUGCUUAAUCUUCAAAUGUCUGAACAUAUACGUUCAAAUGCACAUGCAUUUACCUAAAUAAGUAUGUGUAGAUUUAUUUUUUAAAAAAAAUAAAGCCUUGUCUAAUAAGGAAAUAUAGAACUGUAACUCCUAAUACACACUCACUGUAUUAUUUUAAUGCCAUGCAAAUGAAAGAAUCCUGAAAACUAAUUUUAAAGAGCUAUUUACUUAUUGUUUUUAUGUAGCUGUGCCUGAGUUUACAUAUGUAAGCCAUUGUCUUAAUACAGUAUAUAUAUAUAUAUAUAUAUAUAUAUAUAUAUAUAUAUAUAUAUCCACUAUCCAACCCUUUCAUCUGUCUGUUUCUAUGAGGGUACGCCCUCACUCACCCACCUACUCCCUCCCACCUUCCCUUACUGACUACACUGGGACAUUAAGCAUUGACAGGGAAUUUUCAAAUAACCUAGGCUAUUGCCAAGACUACAAGUUGCUUUCUACAAACUGAGAGCAAAGAGAUAUUGCUCAAGACAAAAGCUACACAUCACAUACAACAUGAGGAUGUUGACUUGGUAACUACAUAGAACAUUCUCCCUUAUCUUCUAGUACCUUUGCUACAGCAAGGUACUCUACAUGCUACCAAAAGACAAACCUAAAAUCCAAUCCAGGCACACCCCUUUGAUCUACAGCGGUGUUUGCAAUAUAUAUUAGGGCCAUAGUGGCACAAAGCUUCUGUGAGUAAAUAACGAAUAUCUAACCCUUGGCAUAAAGGCCACAUCACAAGAUAGAACCCACACCUCAAACUGCAUGGAUGACGAAGAACCUGCAAUUAGAUAACCUAAGCACAUAGGAGAAAAGCAUGCUACUAGUCUAAAAACCACAAGAAAAAUGAAAGGAAAACAAAAGCCAAACCAAGCAAACAUCAACAAAAAGACUCCUGAUGGCACUCAGCUCUACAUUGAAAUCAGUGUCUUGUUCUGUCUCCCUGAGAAGACUUCUUUCUGCAGCUGGCGGAAACAAUGUGAAGAGAUUGAGUCCUUGGAAGAGUCAGCCCUAAAUAUGAUAAAUACAAUUAUGACAUUCAGUUUAAUGUUUUUUCCACAUGGAGAGGUGUAAUGAGAGAAGAGUAGAAGAGAGGAAAGGCAGCCAUGGGCGUGU